GAAGAAGAAAUAAGAAAUAAAGGUUGAAUAAGAGAAGAAGCCAAGGUGUAACAUUUUAGACCUAGAGACCACCCUCGCACGGAAGAACAACGACUUGUGUGCCUCAGACAGUCAGUUUUCCUACGGUGGUGUCAAUGGCACCCAGAAGCAGUGCAUGUGUGACGGCUUCAGUGACUACUGCAGUAAUGGAUAGGAUGAGUUUAUGCAGCUGUGUGGAAUUGACGAGUGCCGGGAGAAGAAUGUCUGGUGUGUGUGAGCCCCUUUGCAUCAACACUCGAGAGUCAUACUACUGGCAGUGCCGGCCAUACAGGGUACACACUCGUCUGGAAGUUCAACUGUGAAGACGUUGACGAGUGCGUGGAGUCGUCCAGAUCCUCUCCCUGAGGGAGUGUUCGGUCUGCCCAUCAGCAGCAACAGUCAGGAGAAGACGGUCAUUGAAGUGUCAAAAUCCCCAAGCUGGCAUGGUGGUGGGUGUUGUGCUGGGCUCCCUCGGGGUUCUUUGCCUAGCUGUUGGUGUGAGUUAACUAAUCUUUCACUCCUUCAUGCUCUGGGGUCUUGCUGUGUAUGCCUUUUGGCUGUGCUGUUCUGUGGCUAAGAUGUCGUAAUUAAGAUGUGCAUGUGAUUCCUCCAAAAUUUAAACAGUACCGAAAUUAUUCUUGACACAUAGAAAAUAU
rnacentral:lncRNA from 1 species